CCUACGGGUGGCUGCAGUGGGGAAUAUUGGGCAAUGGAGGAAACUCUGACCCAGCCACGUCGCGUGAAUGAUGAAGGCCCUCGGAUUGUAAAGUUCUUUUUUAAGGGAAGAAGAAAGUGACGGUACCUUAGUAAUAAGCCUCGGCUAACUACGUGCCAAGAGUCGCGGCAAUACGUGGGAGGCGAGCGUUAUCCGGAAUGACUGGGUGUACAGGGUGCGUAGGUGGUUUGGCAAGUUAGUAGAGUAACUCCCGGGCUCAACCGUGGAACUGCUACUAAUACUGUUAGACUUGAGUGCAGGCGGGGCAGGCGGAAUUCGUAGUGUAGCGGUGAAAUGCGUAGAUAUUAGGAAGAACACCGAUGGCGAAGGCAGGUUACUAGACUGUGACUGACACUGAGGCACGAGAGCGUGGGGAGCAAACAGGAUUAGAUACCCGUGUAGUC
rnacentral:rRNA from 1 species